rnacentral:lncRNA from 1 species
GUUGCUUGUUGGGCAGCUUGGCUUUGGCCAAUCAACCAUCCUUGCAAAAAAGGCAAUUCCCAGUAUGCUGGGUCACUAAAAGGGAAAAACUGAUUGUUUCUUUCUUCUGGCUGCACAUCAGUCUCCAUAGGAUCAACUAAACGUUGAGUACCUAUAUUCUCGUUUUCCCCAACAGAAGAACCUGUAUGAAUAAUGAACUUCUUGUGCAGGAGAUGCACUUUGCUCAACAGGGGACAAUAAAAGUUCAUACUGGCCGGAGAUUGAGUACCUAUAUUCUCAUUCUCCCCAACAGAAGAACCAGUAUGAGCUUCUUGUGCGGGAGAUGCACUUUGCUCAACAGGGGACAAUAAAAGUUCAUACUGGCCGGACGGAGUUGAAUAUGUGAGAAGGCGGACAGAUGAUGAAGUAUCUGUUCUGUGCUGUACAUUGUCGGUUACCAUAUCUAU